rnacentral:rRNA from 1 species
GACGAACGCUGGCGGCGUGCCUAAUACAUGCAAGUCGAACGCUUCUUUCCUCCCGAGUGCUUGCCCUCAAUUGGAAAGAGGAGUGGCGGACGGGUGAGUAACACGUGGGUAACCUACCCAUCAGAGGGGGAUAACACUUGGAAACAGGUGCUAAUACCGCAUAACAGUUUAUGCCGCAUGGCAUAAGAGUGAAAGGCGCUUUCGGGUGUCGCUGAUGGAUGGACCCGCGGUGCAUUAGCUAGUUGGUGAGGUAACGGCUCACCAAGGCCACGAUGCAUAGCCGACCGGAGGGGGUGCUGGCCCACCCGGGGACUGAGACACGGCCAACACCCCGACGGGAGGCAGCGGUAGGAAAUCUUGGGCAAUGGACAAAAGUCUGACCGAGCAACGCCGCGUGAGUGAAGAAGUUGUUCGGAUCUUAAAACUCUGUUGUUAGAGAAAAACAAGGACGUUAGUAACUGAACGCCCCCGGACGGUAUCUAAACAGAAAGCCACGGCUAACUCCGUG